GUCGAGAAUCUUUCACAAUGGGGGCAACCCUGAUGGAGCGACGCCGCGUGGAGGAUAAGGUCUUCGGAUUGUAAACUCCUGUCAUGCGUGAACAAGGUUGCUUGGUUAAUACCUGGGCAAAUUGAUGGUAACGCAAGAGGAAGAGACGGCUAACUCUGUGCCAGCAGCCGCGGUAAUACAGAGGUCUCAAGCGUUGUUCGGAAUCACUGGGCGUAAAGGGUGCGUAGGUGGCGUGGUAAGUCAGAUGUGAAAGCCCGGGGCUCAACCUCGGAACUGCAUCCGAGACUGCCAUGCUAGAGUACUGGAGAGGUGACUAGAACUCUCGGUGUAGCAGUGAAAUGCGUAGAUAUCGAGAGGAAUACCAAAGGCGUAGGCAGGUCACUGGACAGUUACUGACACUGAGGCACGAAGGCCAGGGGAGCGAACGGGAUUAGAAACCCGAGUAGUCC
rnacentral:rRNA from 1 species